AUGGAGCCGACCUUGAAAUACCACCCUUUAAUGUUUGAUGUUCUAACGUUGACCCGUAAUCCGGGUUGCGGACAGUGUCUGGUGGGUAGUUUGACUGGGGCGGUCUCCUCCUAAAGAGUAACGGAGGAGCACGAAGGUUGGCUAAUCCUGGUCGGACAUCAGGAGGUUAGUGCAAUGGCAUAAGCCAGCUUGACUGCGAGCGUGACGGCGCGAGCAGGUGCGAAAGCAGGUCAUAGUGAUCCGGUGGUUCUGAAUGGAAGGGCCAUCGCUCAACGGAUAAAAGGUACUCCGGGGAUAACAGGCUGAUACCGCCCAAGAGUUCAUAUCGACGGCGGUGUUUGGCACCUCGAUGUCGGCUCAUCACAUCCUGGGGCUGAAGUAGGUCCCAAGGGUAUGGCUGUUCGCCAUUUAAAGUGGUACGCGAGCUGGGUUUAGAACGUCGUGAGACAGUUCGGUCCCUAUCUGCCGUGGGCGCUGGAGAACUGAGGGGGGCUGCUCCUAGUACGAGAGGACCGGAGUGGACGCAUCACUGGUGUUCGGGUUGUCAUGCCAAUGGC
rnacentral:rRNA from 1 species